rnacentral:tmRNA from 1 species
GGGGGUGAAAGGGUUCGACCUAAGUACAUAGGGUAAGAGCAGCAUGCCGCGGACGCGAGGUUAGCCGCGUUAACAAUCCUUGCAAAAACUAAAAGCAAACACACCAGUGUUAAACCGGCUUGCAAUGCCAGUAAUGGCAAUGCCAGCUGGCUGCUUAGUCACCCCUCACUAAGUGUAGGGGUGCCUCUACUCAGCUUGCCUACGGGCUGAAAUAGAGCGCUAGUAGGAUAGUCUCGCAGGGUUUGCCUUUGCAUGCGGGAUGAAAUUCAAAAAGGCUGCGGCUUGCGCAAUCUUGUUUAGCGGAGUGCGCAAGAGUAAGAAUAAAAGAUAAACUAAGCAUGUAGCGGCUUUUAUCAGAUUGCUUGGGGACGGCGGUCCAAUUCCGCCCACCUCCACUU